rnacentral:tRNA from 1 species
GGGCUCAUGGCCAAAUCUGGUAAGGCAAUCGCCUGCAGAGCGAUGAUUCUGGGUUCAAAUCCCAGUGGGCCCU